rnacentral:rRNA from 1 species
AACGAACGCUGGCGGCAUGCCUAACACAUGCAAGUCGAACGAGACCUUCGGGUCUAGUGGCGCACGGGUGCGUAACGCGUGGGAACCUGCCCUUAGGUUCGGAAUAACUCCCCGAAAGGGGUGCUAAUACCGGAUAAUGUCUUCGGACCAAAGAUUUAUCGCCUUUGGAUGGGCCCGCGUUGGAUUAGCUAGUUGGUAGGGUAAAAGCCUACCAAGGCGACGAUCCAUAGCUGGUCUGAGAGGAUGAUCAGCCACACUGGGACUGAGACACGGCCCAGACUCCUACGGGAGGCAGCAGUGGGGAAUAUUGGACAAUGGGCGAAAGCCUGAUCCAGCAUUGCCGCGUGAGUGAUGAAGGCCUUAGGGUUGUAAAGCUCUUUUACCCGGGAUGAUAAUGACAGUACCGGGAGAAUAAGCUCCGGCUAACUCCGUG